UUUUCAAGAGUUGUGUUAGGGUUUAGGGUAGACAUUUUUUACCUAAUAAAAAAUUAAGUGGACAUUGUUUCAUCACUUUGCGAUCCGAACCCCAAGCCGGAGCGGCCCGCGACGGAGCGGGGUUGAUGCAGAGGCUGAAGGAGGAGUACAAGGCGUUACAUUCGAUGUCCACUAGCCUCUUUGGGGCGAAUUACUGGUAUGCUUUCUGAUUUGUUUCCUUCUUAUUUCUUGUUAAUUGAAUUCCAAUUUAAUUCUUCGAGGUUAAAGAUUAAUUGGAAUUUUGCACUACAUUAUGAAUUAUUAACAAAGUCCUACGUGUUCUUCACUGAAUUUUGGUUGCCAUUGGUUUGCAAUUCUAUAAUACUGUUGGUUUAGUUGGUUAGAAAAUGAGUGGGAAAGAGAAAAACGACAACAAGAAAAAAAAAAAAAAA